GACGAACGCUGGCGGCGUGCUUAACACAUGCAAGUCGAACGGAAAGGCCCUUCGGGGUCCUCGAGUGGCGAACGGGUGAGUAACACGUGGGUGAUCUGCCCUGCACUUUGGGAUAAGCCUGGGAAACUGGGUCUAAUACCGAAUAGGACCACGCGCUUCAUGGUGUGUGGUGGAAAGCUUUUGCGGUGCGGGAUGGGCCCGCGGCCUAUCAGCUUGUUGGUGGGGUAAUGGCCUACCAAGGCGACGACGGGUAGCCGGCCUGAGAGGGUGACCGGCCACACUGGGACUGAGAUACGGCCCAGACUCCUACGGGAGGCAGCAGUGGGGAAUAUUGCACAAUGGGCGCAAGCCUGAUGCAGCGACGCCGCGUGAGGGAUGACGGCCCUCGGGUUGUAAACCUCUUUCAAUAGGGACGAAGCGCAAGUGACGGUACCUAUAGAAGAAGCACCGGCCAACUACGUG
rnacentral:rRNA from 1 species